rnacentral:rRNA from 1 species
UGGGGGAUAUUGCACAAUGGGCGAAAGCCUGAUGCAGCGACGCCGCGUGGGGGAUGAAGGCCUUCGGGUUGUAAACUUCUUUUGCUCUGAACAAGGCAUGCUAAUGGGUGUGUUGAGUGUAGGGGUUGAUUAGCGCCGGCUAACUACGUACCAGCAGCCGCGGUAAUACGUAGGGCGCGAGCGUUGUCCGGAAUUAUUGGGCGUAAAGGGCUUGUAGGUGGCUGGUUGCGUCUGUCGUGAAAGCUCAUGGCUUAACUGUGGGUUUGCGGUGGGUACGGGCUGGCUUGAGUGCAGUAGGGGAGGCUGGAAUUCCUGGUGUAGCGGUGGAAUGCGCAGAUAUCAGGAGGAAUACCGGUGGCGAAGGCGGGUCUCUGGGCUGUUACUGACACUGAGGAGCGAAAGCAUGGGGAGCGAACAGG